rnacentral:rRNA from 1 species
CAAUAGCGUAUAUUUAAGUUGCUGCAGUUAAAAAGCUCAUAGUUGGAUUUCGGGUGGGAAUGGCCGGUCCGCCGUUUCGGUGUGCACUUGCUACGCCCACCUUGCUGCCGGGGACGUGCUCUUGAGUUCACGCUCGGGACACGGAGUCGGCGAGGUUACUUUGAGUAAAUUAGAGUGUUCAAAGCAGGCCUACGCUCUGAAUACAUUAGCAUGGAAUAACACGAUAGGACUCUGGCCUAUCUUGUUGGUCUGUAGGACCGGAGUAAUGAUUAAGAGGGACAGUCGGGGGCAUUCGUAUUUCAUUGUCAGAGGUGAAAUUCUUGGAUUUAUGAAAGACGAACUACUGCGAAAGCAUUUGCCAAGGAUGUUUUCAUUAA